rnacentral:misc_RNA from 1 species
GAUGAAGAACGUAGCGAAAUGCGAUAAGUAAUGUGAAUUGCAGAAUUCAGUGAAUCAUCGAAUCUUUAAACGCACAUUGCGCCCCUUGGUAUUCCGAGGGGCAUGCCUGUUCGAGCGUCAUUACACCACUCAAGCUAUGCUUGGUAUUGGGCGUCGUCCUUAGUUGGGCGCGCCUUAAAGACCUCGGCGAGGCCACUCCGGCUUUAGGCGUAGUAGAAUUUAUUCGAACGUCUGUCAAAGGAGAGGAACUCUGCCGACUGAAACCUUUAUUUUUCUAGGUUGACCUCGGAUCAGGUAGGGAUACCCGCUGAACUUAAGCAUAUCAAUAAGCGGAGGA